AACGAACGCUGGCGGCAUGCCUAACACAUGCAAGUCGAACGAGACCUUCGGGUCUAGUGGCGCACGGGUGCGUAACGCGUGGGAAUCUGCCCUUGGGUUCGGGAUAACAGUUGGAAACGACUGCUAAUACCGGAUGAUGACUUCGGUCCAAAGAUUUAUCGCCCAGGGAUGAGCCCGCGUAGGAUUAGCUUGUUGGUGAGGUAAAGGCUCACCAAGGCGACGAUCCUUAGCUGGUCUGAGAGGAUGAUCAGCCACACUGGGACUGAGACACGGCCCAGACUCCUACGGGAGGCAGCAGUGGGGAAUAUUGGACAAUGGGCGAAAGCCUGAUCCAGCAAUGCCGCGUGAGUGAUGAAGGCCUUAGGGUUGUAAAGCUCUUUUACCCGGGAUGAUAAUGACAGUACCGGGGGAAUAAGCCCCGGCUAACUCCGUGCCAGCCGCCGCUGUAA
rnacentral:rRNA from 1 species